rnacentral:lncRNA from 1 species
UGUCUCUGUCUCUCUCUCUCUCUCUCUCUCUCUCUCUCUCUCUCUCUCUCUCUCUCUCCACCAACUCAAAUCUAAUAUGGGGUUGUUUUUGUUGGGUAUGGCUUAUAUUUGAAUUGGGUUGGUCUGAUUUGCGAUGCUCCUUUGGGCUUGAAGUUGCUAUUUCUUCCAAGAGAUCAAGGGGUUGGGGAAGGAGGGCUGGGUUGAGGAUGGAGGAGGCUGAGAUGUG